CCUCCUUAAAAUAAAACGUUUUUUUGUAGGCGUUCACACGAAUUACUUAUUUCUUUUUAUCUUUUUUAGAUAAAGAAGAGUUCUUUAACAUUUUUAUAAGUUCAAUCAAGUCAUAUCAUGAAUAUUUAUAUUCAUCGGUAUGCAAAUUAACUAUUCUUCAGAUCUUCAUAUUUAUAUGGAUAUUUGUUGAAUAAAACUAUUCUUCAGAUCUUCAUAUUUAUAUGAAUAUUUGUUGAAUAACUGCAAAGUAAUUUGGCGUUUUUGUGUUUUUUAAAACACAAUUUUGUGUCUUUUAGACACAAUAAGUAGAUAGAAAUGCUUGGUGUAUAUCAUUAAGUUAAUUGAUGUAAUAUGGUCAAGUAGUGAAGUGCAAACGGUGGAUGCCUUGGCAGCUAGAGGCGAUGAAGGACGUAGUAACUUGCGAUAAGCUUCGGGGAGUCGGUAACAGACUUUGAUCCGGAGAUUCCGAAUGGGGAAACCAAGGGCGAAUA
rnacentral:misc_RNA from 1 species